rnacentral:rRNA from 1 species
GAUGAACGCUGGCGGCGUGCCUAAUACAUGCAAGUCGAGCGAACAGAUAAGGAGCUUGCUCCUUUGACGUUAGCGGCGGACGGGUGAGUAACACGUGGGUAACCUACCUAUAAGACUGGGAUAACUUCGGGAAACCGGAGCUAAUACCGGAUAAUAUUUUGAACCGCAUGGUUCUAAAGUGAAAGAUGGUUUUGCUAUCACUUAUAGAUGGACCCGCGCCGUAUUAGCUAGUUGGUAAGGUAACGGCUUACCAAGGCGACGAUACGUAGCCGACCUGAGAGGGUGAUCGGCCACACUGGAACUGAGACACGGUCCAGACUCCUACGGGAGGCAGCAGUAGGGAAUCUUCCGCAAUGGGCGAAAGCCUGACGGAGCAACGCCGCGUGAGUGAUGAAGGGUUUCGGCUCGUAAAACUCUGUUAUUAGGGAAGAACAAAUGUGUAAGUAACUGUGCACGUCUUGACGGUACCUAAUCAGAAAGCCACGGCUAACUACGUG